CGGGCUGUGGCGCAGGUUGGUAGCGCGCUCGGUUUGGGACCGAGAGGUCGCGGGUUCGAAUCCCGCCAGCCCGAC
rnacentral:tRNA from 1 species